GCGUGGGUAGUAUAAUGGUUAUUAUCUCGGUUUCCCAUUACCAAUGGCAUAAUCAAUUGAUUGUGAUAAAUACCGAGGACCCGAGUUCGAUUCUCGGCCCUCGCA
rnacentral:tRNA from 1 species